rfam:Pseudoalteromonas phenolica strain KCTC 12086 chromosome I, complete sequence.
GGGGCUGAUUAGGAUUCGACAGGAUUCAUGAAGCCUGAGGUGCAUGUCGAGGGGCGGUUGGCCUCGUAAAAAAGCCGCAUUUAAAGUAAUCGCAAACGACGAUAACUACGCUCUAGCGGCAUAAUAGCCCGCUAGCACUCCUCCAAGAAAUGCUUGUGGUUCUGGUUCUGGAGUGUCACCCUACACAAGAUCGCUGCGGAAACCCUGGCCGGGGUUGAAGGGCUAAAACUAAGCGGCCUCGCCUUUAUUUAUCGUGUUCGUCCGAGACUUAAAGGUUAACCAAUAGACGAUACUAAACAUGUAGGACCGAAGGUCGACGCUUUCUGGACGGGGGUUCAAAUCCCCCCAGCUCCACCA